GACGAACGCUGGCGGCGUGCUUAACACAUGCAAGUCGAACGGAAAGGCCCUGCUUUUGUGGGGUGCUCGAGUGGCGAACGGGUGAGUAACACGUGAGUAACCUGCCCUUGACUUUGGGAUAACUUCAGGAAACUGGGGCUAAUACCGGAUAGGAGCUCCUGCUGCGUGGUGGGGGUUGGAAAGUUUCGGCGGUUGGGGAUGGACUCGCGGCUUAUCCGCUUGUUGGGGGGGUAGUGGCUGACCAAGGCUUUGACGGGUAGCCGGCCUGAGAGGGGGAACGGGGACAAUGGGACUGAGAGACGGACCAGAAGGGUACGGGAGGCAGCAGUGGGGAAUAUUGCAAAAUGGGCGGAAGCCUGAGGCAGCAACGCCGCGAGCGGGAUGACGGCCUUCGGGUUGUAAACAGAUGUCGCCUGUGACGAAGCGGGAGUGACGGUAACGGGUAAAGAAGCACCGGCUAACUACGUG
rnacentral:rRNA from 1 species